AACUUCCUGCAGCUUCUGAGUGAAAAUUGAAAAGGUAAAGCAUUGGAUACUGAUGCAACUUAUAAUAAAACAGUUUAAUUCUCAUAAAAUAGAACAGGAAUUGAGGUAUGAGACUGCUCUUUGGAAAACCAUAAGGUCAUGCUGCCAACAAGAGAGAGACUGUUGAAAUAAACCAAUAAUGCUUACAUAAAGUUAGUGGCUUUACCAUUUGAUAUAAAUUUUAUAAAAUAUUUAGAAAUUCAAAUAAAUAACAAUCUUAUAGAAUUAGAGUGACAACAGACAGAUAAUGGAGGAUUUGCAACAACAGAAUAUUUAUUCCUGGUACUAUAAAUUACUUGAAAUGUUAAAGGAUAAGGAACAAGAACAUAGAGAAAGGAGGAAUGGCCCUCUCUAGUACUAACACUUCACUUUUCAAGGGCAUCUGAUCCAGUAGUUUAACCGGAAAAACCACACAUACAAUGAUGUACCGUACGUCACCGUUUGCGGAGUGAGAAAUGCAAUGAGGGGCUCAUAGGACGACAUUGCUGGGCGAUGUGAGUUCGCUAAGAUUCGAGUAUAUAAAGAGCAUCAGAACACGGAGAAAACCAGUUGUUGCUUUGGCAACGUUACGGGGUUGGAUACGCUUAUUACAUGUGAAGCUUUGCUUCCUGCUUGUUGCUGGAAUACUCUGCCAGACCCUCUGGAAACCUUGAAGUGUUAAAGGUGUUUAUUCUGUUCCUUCCCCUGGAAACUUUGGGACAUAAGAAGGUUUGGUACCGGGAGAUCGCUUCGAGCAGUGACAAAAUGCCCAGUAAAAGGGCUCCAAUGCCUUCCUCCAGAAAACCACCUACCAGUGAUUCUCUAAGCUUUGACAAAAGGGUUCCAAUGCCUUUCUCCAGAAAACCACCCACCAAUGAUUCUCCAAGUUUUGACACAAGUUUCACUCGAGUGGUUCCAGCAAAAUGCCUUUUACCAACUUAAGUGGUUCCAGCAAAAAGCCUUCUCCCAGCACCAGUUGUCCCACUAAAAUGCCUUCUUUCAGUCAGUAAAAGUGUAAGACAGUAAAAGUGAAAGGGUUCCAAAAGGUCCAGUAAAAUGGAUUCCAGUAAAAGUCAAGAGACUCCAAGCUCGAGUAAAAAACCUUCAAGCUCCAGUGGUUCUAGCAAAAUGCCAUCUUCGAGUUCUAGUUACAAACCCCCAAGCUGCAGUGGUUCCAAGAAAAGUAAAAAAUCCCCAAACUCCAGUGGUUACAAGAAAAGUGAAAGACCAGUGUUGGUCUUUCACUUUAUUUCACUUCAAGAAAGACCAAAGCUCCAGUGUUGCGAAGAUGGAUUCAUUCAGCUCCCGUGUUGCCGGUAAAAGUGAUACUCAAAGCUACAAUGAUGCUAGCACCUCAUCCAGCUCAUCAUCUUAUGCAGUAAAAGCGAAUGCUCAAGUGGUGACCAAAGUCAAAACUUUCCAAGGUAGCCCGACAAAAGACCAUACAUUUUGAGGCCCUGAAGAUAUUUCACAUCUCUACUUAAUUGCCGUGCUGUGCAUGCAAUGGAAUGGGUACACCAUGAUCAAUGGAUAUGUGAACCACUGUAUAGACGGACAUGUUCGGAGCCAAAUUUUACUCAAAAAACUGUUUCAUCUGCGAGUGGCCUAUGUGAUAAUCAUACACACCAUUACCAAGAGCAAGUGGGUCGCCAUCAUGGACACGCUACCAGAGUUUCUUCCAGCUUAACAAAUUAAAACUCUCACUUAAUGAAAACCGUUGAACCUAUCUGCCAGUGUGUAUGUAGUAGGGAAGAUUUCCAUUAGUGGUUAGCAGUCACGGGUGGCAUUUCCCUGCUUUUUCAACUACCGAUGGAACGUAUUGUUCAUUAACUUUUAAAAAUUUUAUGUAAAUAAAAAAAUUAUUUUGUAA